CCUACGGGAGGCAGCAGUGGGGAAUAUUGCACAAUGGGGGAAACCCUGAUGCAGCCAUGCCGCGUGUGUGAAGAAGGCCUUCGGGUUGUAAAGCACUUUCAGUAAGGAGGAAAGGUUAACAAUUAAUACUUGUUAGCUGUGACGUUACUUACAGAAGAAGGACCGGCUAACUCCGUGCCAGCAGCCGCGGUAAU
rnacentral:rRNA from 1 species